rnacentral:rRNA from 1 species
CGUUCAGAGUGGUUAUGGAAUUAAAUUUAACUUAAAGCCGUACCCCUUCACAGCUGUUAUACGCAUAUGAAGGGCAGAAGCCCUAUCACGAAAGUGGCUUUAUUAACCCUGACCCCACGAAAGCUAUGGCA